AUCGACGACCAUACCACGUUGAAAAUAUCGGCUUCCGCCAGAUCACUGAAAGCAACGUUGGACUCGGUUAGUACUUGGCAUGGGCGACCAGCUGGGAAUACCAGCCGUUUUUC
rnacentral:rRNA from 1 species